rnacentral:rRNA from 1 species
AAUCAACGCUGGCGGCGUGCCUAACACAUGCAAGUCGAGCGCGAAUAGGGGGGCAACUCCCUUAGUAGAGCGGCAAACGGGUGAGUAACGCGUGGGUGAUCUACCUUCGAGUGGGGAACAACAUCGGGAAACUGGUGCUAAUACCGCAUGACAUCCUCGGAUCAAGUCCGGGGAUCAAAGCUGGGGACCGCAAGGCCUGGCGCUUGAAGACGAGCCCGCGUCCGAUUAGCAGUUGGCGGGGUAAGUGGCCCACCAAGGCUUCGAUCGGUAGCCGGCCUCGAGAGGGGCGGACGGGCCGACACUGGGACUGAGACACGGCCCAGACUCCUACGGGAGGCAGCAGUGGGGAAGUUUUUCGCAAUGGGGGAAACCCGUGACGAAGCAACGCCGCGUGGAGGAUGAAGGCCUCGGUCGUAACUA